rnacentral:lncRNA from 1 species
GCAAAGCCAGCCCAGGAAGAGCUGCUGAGCAGGUUGUAAGGAACGAGGAUGCCCCACCCCCCCUCCUUGGCAAAGCAGAGGAUGGUAUUCCAGACAGGUCACAAACAGCUCAAGCAAAGACGUGGUGACAGGGAUGAGGAAGGCACGCUUGCGGAUCGCUAGAAUGGAGGUUGCCUGGGCACAGACACCUUGGAGGAUCCGAUUAGCAAGAAAGGCAGGGCCUGUCCGGAUGGGGGCAAGCCUUGCCCAACAGACUAAGAAGUUUAAUCUUUAUCCUAGAGGCCACUGAGAGCUACCGGGGGUGGGGCGUUAUGGGGAGGCAGGGCUGCUCUGAAACAGGAAGAUUAAUCACAGCUGGGCUGCCUGCCGCUGGCUGCCUGUCACAUGGGAGCUGUGCUGCCCUCAAGCUGCCCAGCUGGAGCACCCUCUUUCCAGGUGACCAAAGCUGGAUCCGGGUGCCCCCUGGCUUAGGAAGGGCAGCCCUGGGCAAGUGUGAGGGAGUGAAGACCAGGCCUGAGAAGCAGGGAGAAGCUGUUUGUCAGGGAAGUGUAGUCACCAGGAUCAGGGUGGCUUCCCCUCCACAGCCCCUUACUCAUCCCUGUUGCCACACCUGUGCUCGGGCUGACAGUGACAGUGGUGUCCUGGAGCUCUCUGUGACUCUUAUUUUUUUAGAGACAGGGUCUUGCAAUGUUCUUUCUACUUAAUUUUAUUUCUUACAAAAGAUUGGCCUUUCACAAGCAUCAUCCAGCGCAGCUAAGCAUAGUGGUUACUAGCACUGACCCUGGGCAAGACUACCUGGUCUUCACUCCCAGCUCUAGUGCUUACUAGCUGUGUGUCCUUGGGCAAGUCACUUCACCUCUCUGUGUCUCAUUGUUAUACAUAAAAUGGGGGAUACUGUUAACCCAUCUCAUAGAGUCCUCAGGAGGAUUAAGUUACAUGUAUGUAAAGCUCUUAUAACAACUUUUGGGAAGUAAUUAGUGCUCUUUCCAUGUUUAUUAAAUGCAUAUAAUAGAAAAUGAAUGUAUCCAGAGAGGCAGUCUGACUUACCUAAGGUCACACAGCAAAUUAGAGACAGAGCUAGAAUCAGAGCCCAAACCUCUGCCAUGGCAGGUAGCCCUGCUAGUCUUGUUUGGGGUUAUUUGCCCCUGACCAAGGUCCAUAGGGCUUCUGGGGAGGAUCUAUGUGUCCUGACAUUGGAUAGUUUACUUAGAAGGGGUGGAGCAAGGAGACCCUGUGGCCUCUGCCCUGGACAGGCAGGUUGUGGAGGUGGCCUCCAGGGUGCACAGCUUCUCCUGCCUGAGGCAGGCUGCACACAGGAGUCCAGGCAGGACCUGACUCCAUUACUGCGGUUUGUCAGGUCAGCA